CAGACGUGGUCAGGAGUGAGCUGGGCCUUACUACAUCCGGUGGGAGGAAGGAUGGUGAGGUUCCCAGGAGAAGAUGUAAUGAGCUUUCAGAGGGAAUGGCUGGCUUUGUACUGAGGACUGUGGUGCUGCGGCUUGACCAUCAACGUGUCUGCACCUUCCUGGGGCAUACUGGCUGUCUGUUUGACCAAGCAGCGGCAGGAGAUGACCACACACAGCUUCCGAAUUCACACGGCCUUAAUUCAAGUCAUCAGUGAAGAUGAUGAGCAUCCCUGAACCACAAUUCCAAAGGAGAGGGACCAUAAUUCACCCAGUUUGGAGAGCUGCCCACCUCUCAACUCAUCUGUUACAGAUGGGUGGCAGGAUCACUGUCUCACAUCAUUGCCAGGUCCUAUUCCUGUGGAUCAGAAGGUGGCAAUUCUCGGGGCGCCUGGGUGGCUCAGUCAGUUGAGCGUC